rnacentral:rRNA from 1 species
AUUGAACGCUGGCGGCGUGCUUUACACAUGCAAGUCGAACGAGUGGCGAACGGGUGAGUAAUACAUCUGACCCUACCUAUUCGAGUGGGAUAACUAAUCGAAAGAUUCGCUAAUACCGCAUACUGCUAGAGUGGCCGAUGGUCGAUUGGCUAGUUGGUGGGGUAAGAGCUUACCAAGGCGAUGAUCGAUAGCUGGUCUGAGAGGAAGAUCAGCCACACUGGGACUGAGACACGGCCCAGACUCCUACGGGAGGAAGCAGGGGGGAAUUUUGGACAAUGGGGGGAAGCCUGAUCCAGCAACGCCGCGUGAAUGAAGAAGGCCUUAGGGUUGUAAAGUUCUUUUAGCUGGGAGCGGGUACCAGAAGAAUAAGCACCGGCUAACUACGUGCCAGCAGCCGCGGUAAUAC